rfam:Streptococcus gordonii str. Challis substr. CH1, complete genome.
AAUGAGGGUUUGGUCACUUUUUCAUUAUAGGUCUUAUGGGGCUUUUUUUCUACAACAAAAUAGACUCCAUAAUUCCUACAGUGGUUUUACCCACUACAGAAAUUAUAGAGUC